CCACGUGGUUCUGGUUGUUCUGGUUUGCAGCCUAGUGUUGUGUUUCCAGUCUAGCUCUCUCUCAUUUCUGCUGUGUUCUGUCUUUUUUUCUAACUCACUGUGUAUGUGUGCCUUCAAGUUCAUCCCAGGAGGUUGGGGAGGGGGUGCAUACAUCUGCCUUGCUAUCUCAGUGAGUCUUAUUGGCUUCAUCCUACUCCAGAAAGAGUCAUAGGCUCAUCGCUAAGCCAGAUACUAUAACCUGGCAGUACAAUGUGGCUGUUGUAGGCCAGCCUGAAUUUAGUGUGGAAUCUGCCUUUCCCAACCCACAGAUAAUGACUUGGGCAGGAAUGACUUCCUAAAGGACAUUCAGGGCAUACAUUGCAGCAUCAAAGAAUGACUAGUGAACAAGAUAUUUAUAUUUUAUUUUUCUCUAUGAAGGACAUGUGCAUGUGAUUUAAAAAGAUAGUAAAGAAAUAGCUGGCCAACGUGCAUAACAGAUGAAGAAAAGAUUACAUUUUCUUUAAAAAAAAAAGAAACAAAAC
rnacentral:lncRNA from 1 species